CCCCCGCACUACUUCUCGCCGCCGCCACCACCACCACCACCACCACCACCUAUGGCGCCCGAUCCCGCCCUAUUCCAGCGUCCUCCGGCGGUGCCCAGCGCACCACCGUGCCCCCCUCUAACUGUUCCUUCCUCCCAUCGGGCCAGAUCCGGCGCGCGCGUACUCCAGCGGCCAACCGUGACCCUGCCCAGCAGCUAGGGUUUGGGCCAGCACGUCACCGGCGUUGCUCCGGCGUUGCUCCGGUGACUUAGCGUGCCGUCGCCGGUCGGGCACCGGGACGCCAUGGACGGGAAGGUUUCUUCCUCCCCUGCCUAGAUCCCAUGAACGGCGCAACCCCACCACUACACCAUGGAGAUGGAGCUCCUUCCACAUCAUGCAUGGAGCCUCCCUCCCAGCGCCCGGGGCCCUAGAGGGAAUUCAAGGCAAUGGCCGGAGAGAGAGGAGCUGCUCCUAGUACAGGACGCCAUGGAAGCUUCUCCUUUCUUGUUCUGCCUUUUUAAUUUUUCCGUUUCUCUUCCCGAUCUAGACAUGUUGAAGGCUCUAUUUUGUGCAGGUGCUGCACUGAUGAGGAGAAACUACUGCUGAAGGACGUCCUCCUCCCCUCUCCUCCUCUU